UCUUACUCUGAUUGAGGGCAGCAUAUUAGUGAGCCGCACAGCUGAUCAAUCAGCGUGAGCUCUGCCAGAGGAAUCAUUCCUCGGUAUACUGAGGCAACAGCAGGUCAUAGCAUUUGGACUAAACAGAUUUCUUGGGCAAUUUAUCUGCCUAAUUUCCGGCAGUUACUAUUGCAACUUUAAUCAGUACCUGCUUGCCUUCGGCUCCUCUU